rnacentral:rRNA from 1 species
CGGCCUAACCGUUGGGAAGAGCUGUCGAAGGUGGGAUCGGCGAUUGGGGUG